AUGGCCUGCACUCCUCUCCUCUUCGUGCUCCUCUCUCACUGCACAGGUUCCCUCUCCCAGCCUGUGCUGACUCAGCCAUCCUCCCUCUCUGCAUCUCCUGGAGCAUCAGCCAGACUCACCUGCACCCUGAGCAGUGGCUUUGGUGUUGAUGGCUACUGGAUAUACUGGUACCAGCAGAAGCCAGGGAACCCUCCCCGGUAUCUCCUGUAUUACAAGUCAGAUUCAGAUAAGCACCAGGGGUCUGGGGUCCCCAGCUGCUUCUCUGGAUCCAAAGAUGCCUCAGCCACUGCAGGGCUUCUGCUCAUCUCUGGGAUCCAGCCUGAGGACGAGGCUGACCAUUACUGUGCUACAGCUCAUGGCAGUGGGAGCAGCUAG